rnacentral:rRNA from 1 species
CCUACGGGAGGCAGCAGUGGGGAAUAUUGGACAAUGGGCGAAAGCCUGAUCCAGCCAUGCCGCGUGUGUGAAGAAGGCCUUCGGGUUGUAAAGCACUUUCAGUGGGGAAGAAAGCCUUGGGGCUAAUACCCUCGAGGAAGGACAUCACCCACAGAAGAAGCACCGGCUAACUCCGUGCCAGCAGCCGCGGUAAUACGGAGGGUGCGAGCGUUAAUCGGAAUUACUGGGCGUAAAGCGAGCGUAGGCGGUCUGAUAAGCCGGUUGUGAAAGCCCCGGGCUCAACCUGGGAACGGCAUCCGGAACUGUCAGGCUAGAGUGCAGGAGAGGAAGGUAGAAUUCCCGGUGUAGCGGUGAAAUGCGUAGAGAUCGGGAGGAAUACCAGUGGCGAAGGCGGCCUUCUGGACUGACACUGACGCUGAGGUGCGAAAGCGUGGGUAGCAAACAGGAUUAGAUACCCUAGUAGU